rnacentral:misc_RNA from 1 species
UCCGGUCUGUCACCGGCAGUCCCAUUAGAGUGCUCAACUGAAUGUAGCAACUAAUGGCAAGGGUUGCGCUCGUUGCGGGACUUAACCCAACAUCUCACGACACGAGCUGACGACAGCCAUGCACCACCUGUGAAGGUGCCCCGAAGGGAAGGUGUGUUUCCACACCGGUCACCUACAUGUCAAGCCCAGGUAAGGUUCUUCGCGUUGCGUCGAAUUAAACCACAUGCUCCACCGCUUGUGCGGGCCCCCGUCAAUUCCUUUGAGUUUCAGCCUUGCGGCCGUACUCCCCAGGCGGGGCACUUAAUGCGUUAGCGCCGGCACCCAGGGGGUCGCUCCCCCAGGCACCUAGUGCCCAUCGUUUACUGCGUGGACUAC